CCCUCUUUUCCAGAAUUUUACAAGGAAACCCACUACCAAAAAAAAGGGAAAGUAUGGGUAAACGAGAAAGCACAAGAUACCUAUGUUGCCAUAACACCAGAGGUGACUUCAAGGGUGACUUCAAGGGCUGUUUGUAGGAAGAUUAUUUGUGAGCUUGUAAACAUUUACAAGGACUACCACACAUGAAAGCUUAUGGAUAUGUAUUGCGGCCCUGAUAGAGUGACUACAAAGCAACAAAUGCAGGAGUUAGACAGAGUCGCAAAAACUCUACCAGGGAAUAUACUUCAUUUGUGAAGAGGUUCACUAAUCGUGCCGUUCUUUCACUUCAAGUUUUCUUUUUUUUCAACUUAGUUUAGUUUCUUGUAAAUCUUAUAAUGUGUCAUUCUCUGAAAUGGAAAACACUGAAUAUGGCAAACUGGAA